rnacentral:other from 1 species
CCUCUGCUGAGAUUCGAAAGCGCUCUCGUAUACAAAGUGAACCCCGUGCGCAUUGAAACGGGAGACAAAGAACCGCGCGGUGUGCAGACCCGGAAUUUUCACCGGGGAGCCUGAAGCUCGGUUGCGUCGCCCACCUGGUUACGCCCAGGGGUUCAACGCGUAGAGAGUGGCACCGAUCACGGCGGUAAG